UUGCUGCAGGCGGCCUGUCCUCGCUGUCAAUUGCUGCUCGAAUUCCCUACCUCGGUUUCAUACUGAAAAGUAAAUUGGGGAUUUAACUUCUGGCGUGUAUCCAUAAUUUUAAAACCACGAGCCGAGUUAAAAUGAUCACUUAACAAAAACACUACGAAAUAGAACUACCGAAAAAUGGGGGGCUGUCGUCGUACAUUUGCUCCACGGCGAUGGUCUGCCAUCUUGUGUGUACCUGGGUAUACAAUUUGAGCGAGCGUAACAACGAGAUGUGAGCUUGCUGCUGGCGAACGAUUAUCGACUAGUAUCUAAAAUAGGCGAAGGGACAUUUUCGGAGGUCUGGAAGGCGCAAAGCUUGAAAGAUGGAACCUACUACGCUUGUAAAAAGAUGAAACAACAUAUCGAAAGCAUGGAGCAAGUGAACAAUCUACGUGAAAUUCAAGCAAUGCGCAGACUGAGUUUACAUCCUAAUAUUCUUCAGUUACAUGAAGUAGCCUAUGAUAAAAAGUCUGGAUCUCUUGCUCUAAUAUGUGAACUAAUGGAUAUGAAUAUCUAUGAGCUCAUACGAGGUCGGAGGAACCCAUUGCCUGAAGGUAAAAUAAAGAGUUACAUGUAUCAACUAUGUAAGUCCCUUGAUUACAUGCACAGAAAUGGGAUUUUUCACCGAGAUGUAAAGCCAGAAAACAUUUUAAUUAAGCAAAACUUACUGAAGUUGGCAGAUUUUGGUUCCUGUAGGAGUGUCUACUCAAAGCAGCCAUAUACAGAAUAUAUUUCUACCCGAUGGUAUAGAGCCCCUGAAUGUCUUCUUACAGAUGGGUACUACAGCUUCAAAAUGGACAUCUGGAGCACAGGCUGUGUUUUCUAUGAAAUAACAAGUCUACAACCACUUUUUCCUGGUUCUAAUGAAGUUGACCAAAUUGCAAAGAUCCAUGAAGUUAUUGGAACUCCAAACUCUGAAACACUAAGGAAGUUCAAACAAACUCGGGCGAUGAGUUUUGACUUCCCACAGAAAAAGGGAACAGGAAUAUCUUGCCUCAUUCCUCACACCACUUCUGAGAGUAUUUCACUGAUGAAUGCAAUGAUGGAGUAUGACCCUGAAGAAAGGAUCACUGCUAAGCGGGCACUACAACAUCCUUACUUUCGUGAAUUGAGAUUGGCAGAGAAACAAGCUGCCACCUUCCAGCGUAGAGUUAGAUGCUUAGAAGGGAAUGAAAACAAUCUAAGCCCUGCUGUGGUGCACAACCUUUGGAGAAUUCAUAAGGGACGUAAACAGGAAAUUCCUGUACAACGCCAAAUUCCUCCAUAUCCUGUGGAACUGCCAAAGCUGAAUGUUCCAGCUACAACAAAGAUUGUUGCCUACCCAAAUCAGAGUUUAAAGUCUGUCUUUCCAACAGCAUCAAGGGCUGAAAAUGGAACUCUACCCCAAGUGCCAAGCAAGGACCUUGCCAAUGCAAAUGCCACCGGGUACCGCACCGGCCCAAAUUUAACUCCGCCACGAAAGAAGUCUGCUUUGGGCCCACCUUGCCGAUGUAGAUGCUAUUGAUGCCAUCAGGUCUUGUACUGGGCCCAAACUCACCUUCACUGACGCCAUGACUACACACUGCUGGACCCACUUACAGAUACCAAUGCUGUAACCGAGCGCUUCGCCAAGAGGCAUCACUUCAGUCUUCAACCAGAUGUGCC